UACGUAGGGCGCAAGCGUUAUCCGGAAUUAUUGGGCGUAAAGAGCUCGUAGGCGGUUUGUCGCGUCUGCCGUGAAAGUCCGGGGGCUCAACUCCGGAUCUGCGGUGGGUACGGGCAGACUAGAGUGAUGUAGGGGGAGACUGGAAUUCCUGGUGUAGCGGUGAAAUGCGCAGAUAUCAGGAGGAACACCGAUGGCGAAGGCAGGUCUCUGGGCAGUAACUGACGCUGAGGAGCGAAAGGCGUGGGGAGCGAACAGG
rnacentral:rRNA from 1 species